AAAGUACUCCCCCUAUCCCAAAAUUCUUGUCUUAGAUUUAUCUAGAUACGGAUGUAUCAAGUCACAUUUUAGUAUUAGAUACAUCCGUAUUUAGACGAAUCUAAGACAAGAAUUUUGGGACGGAGGGAGUAGUUG
rfam:Triticum aestivum genome assembly, contig: Triticum_aestivum_CS42_TGACv1_scaffold_328653_4BS